CGGGGCUGCAGAGGAACGCCUGUGC
rnacentral:piRNA from 1 species